GACGAACGCUGGCGGCGUGCUUAACACAUGCAAGUCGAGCGAUGAAGUUUCUUCGGAAAUGGAUUAGCGGCGAACGGGUGAGGAACACGUGAAGAAUCUGCCCUCCACUUUGGGGUAACACCGGGAAACCGGUGCUAAUACCGAAUAUUGAAACAUAAGUGGCAUCACUGAGUUUUGAAAGAAUUUCGGUGGAGGAUGACUUCGCGGCCUAUCAGCUAGUUGGUGAGGUAAUGGCUCACCAAGGCAACGACGGGUAGCCGGCCUGAGAGGGCGACCGGCAAGACGGGGACUGAGACACGGCCCAGACUCCUCCGGGAGGCAGCUGUGGGGAAUAUUGGGCAAUGGAGGAAACUCUGACCCAGCGACGCCGCGUGCGGGAUGAAGGCCUUCGGGUUGUAAACCGCUUUCAGUAGGGAAGAAGCGAAAGUGACGGUACCUACAAAAGAAGCACCGGCUAACUAUGUGCCAGCAGCCGCCGUAA
rnacentral:rRNA from 1 species